AUAAUAGCGAUGAUAAAAGAAAAGCUUAAGAUGUAUUUUUCAGAGAACUAGUGGUUGGUGAGAACUAGUAAAUAGACUUUGGCGGUCCGCUUUUGGAGCUACUGGUGAUGAAUCAGAGGGAGCAGCCCUUUAUAGCAGCGUUGGAGGUUAAUAACUUCGGUUAUUAAUAAAUGAAGGUGGCACCACGGGAGAGUCUCGUCCUUUUU
rnacentral:ncRNA from 1 species